UACACUCCUGCGGGAGGCAGCAGUGGGGAAUAUUGGACAAUGGGCGCAAGCCUGAUCCAGCCAUGCCGCGUGAGUGAUGAAGGCCCUAGGGUUGUAAAGCUCUUUCACCGGUGAAGAUAAUGACGGUAACCGGAGAAGAAGCCCCGGCUAACUUCGUGCCAGCAGCCGCGGUAAUACGAAGGGGGCUAGCGUUGUUCGGAUUUACUGGGCGUAAAGCGCACGUAGGCGGACUAUUAAGUCAGGGGUGAAAUCCCGGGGCUCAACCCCGGAACUGCCUUUGAUACUGGUAGUCUUGAGUUCGAGAGAGGUGAGUGGAAUUCCGAGUGUAGAGGUGAAAUUCGUAGAUAUUCGGAGGAACACCAGUGGCGAAGGCGGCUCACUGGCUCGAUACUGACGCUGAGGUGCGAAAGCGUGGGGAGCAAACAGGAUUAGAUACCCUAGUAGUCCC
rnacentral:rRNA from 1 species